CACGUAGGCACCAAGCGUUGUCCGGAUUUAUUGGGCGUAAAGAGCUCGUAGGCGGUUGAGUAAGUCGGGUGUGAAAACUCUGGGCUUAACCCAGAGCCGCCACCCGAUACUGCUCUGACUUGAGUUCGGUAGGGGAGCAGGGAAUUCCUAGUGUAGCGGUGAAAUGCGCAGAUAUUAGGAGGAACACCGGUGGCGAAGGCGGGAACUCGUGGGCCGAGUACGUGACGCUGAGGAGC
rnacentral:rRNA from 1 species